GACAUUUUUUUGUCUUCUCCUAAGAUUGUAUUUCCCGCCAUUUUCGCCUCUAAUUGUUCUAUAAAUACGCGAACUGCGGAAGCACGUGUGUUACGUGUACAUUCCCAAAUUCAAACCCUAGCGUUCCCUGGGUUUCAAGGCUCGAAAGGUCGCGAUCGAAAUGGCGAAUCCCCGAGAUAACGUCUCCACUGUUACAUAUCUUGGGCUCUGAGAUAAACGAUUGUCUUCGUAUGCUAAAACUGACGUCUUCCUCCCGUUUUUGGGUCUUUGGUGCAUUAAUUAGAUAAUCGACUUGGUAGAAAUCUAGGCGUGGGGAUGGAGAAGUAGAUAUUGUCUGAAACUACAAAAGGAAAAGCUUUCGUAAGCACUAGCAGCGUGGGCAAUAGGUAGGCCAAACUAUUCCGUUGCUUAGUGUAAAAUGUUGAGCAACCUAAAAGGUAACACAAAAUGAUCCACAGUAGGAGCAUACAUAUUUGGUUAAGAAACAACAACCAUAAAUGACCCACUUGCUGCUGUUUGAAUUAGCUCUGGAAGGAAAAACAUUUUAUUCAUAGGUUAAUGGUUAAUUCUUUUGUUUAUGUUAUGAAGAUUUUCUUUGAUAGCGAAUGCAGGCGUUUCCAGGUGUUAUGGGCUGUCCUUUGGGUGAUGGAAAACCGUAGUCAUUUCUGAAAAAUCAGAACCAGACCAGGAUCAAGUUGCGCUCCUUAUAGUCAAGAUACUGGCCAUAUUUAUGACAUGGCCAAGCCUUGGAUUGCUGUUGAAAAUUACUGCAGCAGCUUUCUAGGAAUCAGCACGAAAAGGAAAAGAAAGGCUAAGCUAUAACAAGAUUUAUAUUCCCGUUUGAUAUUUAGAAUCAGAAAAAUAAUUUGUAUUCUUAUUCCCUUUUGCAACUUGGCUAACCCGGGCCUAUGAAAUAUAUCACUGGUUGGGUUCCCUUUUAGAUUGUGAAGGUUGUAGCUCUGGUAAUGUGUUCAUUGCAGAGGCACAAUUUUGCCUAGUGGUCGGAUAUUUUCGUAAAAAGGAAGGAUGAUUCCACGUACA